GACGAACGCUGGCGGCGUGCUUAACACAUGCAAGUCGAACGAUGAACCCGGAGCUUGCUCUGGGGGAUUAGUGGCGAACGGGUGAGUAACACGUGAGUAACCUGCCCUGGACUCUGGGAUAAGCGUUGGAAACGACGUCUAAUACCGGAUAGGACCUUGGAUCGCAUGAUCUGGGGUGGAAAGUUUUUUCGGUCUGGGAUGGACUCGCGGCCUAUCAGCUUGUUGGUGAGGUAAUGGCUCACCAAGGCGUCGACGGGUAGCCGGCCUGAGAGGGUGACCGGCCACACUGGGACUGAGACACGGCCCAGACUCCUACGGGAGGCAGCAGUGGGGAAUAGUGCACAAUGGGCGAAAGCCUGAUGCAGCAACGCCGCGUGCGGGAUGACGGCCUUCGGGUUGUAAACCGCUUUUAGUAGGGAAGAAGGGCUUCGGCUUGACGGUACCUGCAGAAAAAGGACCGGCUAACUACGUG
rnacentral:rRNA from 1 species